rnacentral:rRNA from 1 species
UACGUAGGGGGCUAGCGUUGUCCGGAAUCAUUGGGCGUAAAGAGCGUGUAGGCGGCCCGGUAAGUCCGCUGUAAAAGUCAAAGGCUCAACCUUUGAAUGUCAGUGGAUACUGCCGGGCUAGAGUCCGGAAGAGGCGAGUGGAAUUCCUGGUGUAGCGGUGGAAUGCGCAGAUAUCAGGAGGAACACCGGUGGCGAAGGCGGGUCUCUGGGCAGUAACUGACGCUGAGGAGCGAAAGCGUGGGGAGCGAACAGG